AAACACAGUGGAGAGUCGCUUUGGAGAUGGUGCUGAUGGUUGCUGCUCCUUCUCGUACCUUCAGGCACUAAACAGUACUUCCCACCAGAGUGGUGCAGAGAAAAACUUUACAUGGGCUGUCCUACCACCAUCCGGACACUGGGCGUCCUCCUAUACACGAUGCUCUGCGGGAAAUGGCCCUUUGAGACGACGGAAGAAAUUAUUGCUGGCCACCUGCACUUUCCUCCUGACUUGUCUAAAGACUGCCAGAAGUUUAUAUUACUGUGUCUGGCACAAAAGCCUAAGUCUCAACCAUCCUUCAAGCAACCGCUGAAGAACCGGUGGUUGAAGAAUGGCGCGAGGUCUAUGCAGUCCUUGUGUGCCCAGGCUUUACAGGACCAGUACUGGAGCCAGACCUCCCUUGACAGGACCAGCACACAAUGCAGACUUCAGUUUUAUCAUCAGUCCUGAGUUUUCAGCUUCUUUGGUUUGGAUUUUUUAUUGUUACUGAAAUUAAUUUUUCUUUUAGCUGCAGACCUGCUUUUAUCAGCCUCCAGUUGUUUUUUCACGGGAGUAUCUGUAAGGACAGCGCUUUCCCUUCUUUUCCUGCCCUUUGUUGUCUGCUUUCUUGGGCCAGCUUUUGGGUGUGGAUGAUGGACACAAGUUGUGUCCAUAGCAGAGGAUGAUGGCUCAGGCUCAGGCUUGGACACUACACAUGGUGUGACAGGUUGAUGAUGCUCUAAGUGGCAUGGAGGAUGCCACAGUUGCCACAUUAAGUGAUGGAGUUUUAGAGGAAGAUGGAACCUUUGGUGUCACUGCUGACAUUGGGCGGUCUGUGACUAGGGAGGGUGCAAAGUCACCGUCAGUGAAAAUAUUCCUAUUAAAAGGCCAAAUUCCAGUGCAUGCAAACCCUGUCUGAAUAUUUGCCAGUGAUGCAGCAUGGUGAAGCGCACUCUUCACAAUGCCUGGCAGAUCAUAAAUGGACAUUGUGGCUCCUGGAUGAGCUUUCAUCCAGCCAUCACAGCAGCUGUAUACCAGCCUCUUCAUUGGCCCAUAUACACUGCGAACCAAGGGCUGCAGCUUAUGGGAACAGUGUGGGGGGGGGAAUGAGAGGAGGACAUUGCUAUGACUCUUGCAAAAAUCAAUACCCUCCACAGAGGGGAGAUAUGGUUGUCCAGAAUUAGCAGCACUUUUGACUCCAGUGAGUCUGGAAGUGCUUGAGGAAGACCAAAAAGUCCUCCCCUUGCAUCCAUCCAUACUCAUUUGCUGUACCGAUACAGCCAAGAGGGCCAUUGCUGGUAAAGGAAGGAUGGAUUUUGUUCCGGGGGAAGAUGAAUAUUGGUGUGAUGGAAUUCCCCAAGUCAUUCACUGCACAAACAAGUGUAAUUAGUAUCCCCCAUUCUGCAGAGUUGACUGCACCUACUUGCUUGCCUACACCCCUUUCUAGCCACAAUUUUUUCAGGAUUUUGCACUGUUGUGAUUCCUGUUUAGAAAAAUAUUAUGUUAUUUUGUGCUUUUAUUCUGUAAAACUUUUAUUGUAUUAAAAGCUGUGAGCCUCUGGAAGGUGUUUCUGAGGGAGAUAUAGAUAAUGUCCUAGGGUUAGGGUUAGGGUCAGGGUUAGGAUUAGGGUUAGGAUUAGGGUUACUCUGUUAGGGUUACUCUGUCAGGAAGAUUUAAAUGUGGCUCCCUUUAUGGCAAAAAUGGAGGGAAACUAACUGAGCAUGUGCACAGUGAGUGUCAUCACUCUAGGUUGUUUCUGAUUGGAGGAAUUCAAGGUGUUACAACCGUCCCCUGUUACAACUGUCCCUGGUCUCCCCUACUAAACGUGUAUGAGACAAACCUAAAAAUUCUGCUUAUUUCCACCUUCUCAACUAAAGUUGCUGGGUUAGGGUUAGGGUUAGGGCUGCUGGAGCUGCUCCUUCUGUGGAGGCAGAAGGGCUGAAGAGCUGGAGCUGCUCCUUCUGUGGAGGCAGAAGGGCAGAAGAGCUGGAGCUGCCCCAGGAGAUAACAGAAUGUGACCUGCACAGACUGCGGCAUGAAAACCUCA